GACGGCGGAUGCAAGCGUUAUCCGGAAUGAUUGGGCGUAAAGCGUUCGCAGGUGGCUGUUCAAGUCUGCUGUCAAAGACCGGGGCUUAACCCUAGAAAGGCAGUGGAAACUGAACGGCUGGAGUGCAGUAGGGGUAGAGGGAAUUCCCAGUGUAGCGGUGAAAUGCGUAGAGAUUGGGAAGAACACCGGUGGCGAAAGCGCUCUGCUGGACUGCAACUGACACUGAGGGACGAAAGCUAGGGGAGCGAAAGGG
rnacentral:rRNA from 1 species